GCAGUGUAUGUAAAAAUCAAAUCUUACAUUGAACCCGUUCUAAUUUCUAUGAACCAGAGAAGUGUUAAUUGUGCCACAAAAUACGAAUAUUUCAAAACAACAAUCAUUACAAAUAUUAGCAUUUUGGACGGAGAUUUACAGCAGUACGAGCAAUGUACUGUUCUCAUCCGAAUUACGUGAGUUGAAAACCUAACAGUAACCUAAUCAAUCCAAAAUGCUAAUAUUUGUAUCAGUGCAUUGAUGAUUUUCACAUUUGUACUUUAAAUUUUAUAAUAAU
rnacentral:misc_RNA from 1 species